GGACCUGUGGUGUAGUGGUAACACAUUGCGUACGGGCGUGAAGACGCGUGGUUCGAUUCCCUCCCGCUCCA
rnacentral:tRNA from 1 species